rnacentral:rRNA from 1 species
CUGGCGGCAUGCUUCAUACAUGCAAGUCGAACGAUAAGGUCUCUUCGGAGAUACAUAAGUGGCGGACGGGUGAGUAAUAUGUAGGAAAUCUGCCCUAGAGAGGGGGACAACAGAGGGAAACUUCUGCUGAUACCCCAUAUGAGCGUACCUGAAAUGGUAUUCUUGAAAACUCCGGUGCUCUAGGAUGAGCCUGCAUCUGAUUAGCUAGUUGGCGGUGUAAUGGACCACCAAGGCGACGAUCAGUAGCUGGUUUGAGAGGAUGAUCAGCCACAAUGGGACUGAGACACGGCCCAUACUCCUACGGGAGGCAGCAGUAGGGAAUUUUGCGCAAUGGGCGAAAGCCUGAACCGCAGCAAUGCCGCGUGAACGUAGAAGCCCUUCGGGGUGUAAAGUUCUGUCAGUGGGGACGAAUUUUGACGGUACCCACAGAGGAAGCACCGGCUAACUCCGUGCCAGCAGCCGC